GACGAACGCUGGCGGCGUGCUUAACACAUGCAAGUCGAACGGAAAGGCCCUGCUUUUGUGGGGUGCUCGAGUGGCGAACGGGUGAGUAACACGUGAGUAACCUGCCCUUGACUUUGGGAUAACUUCAGGAAACUGGGGCUAAUACCGGAUAGGAGCUCCUGCUGCAUGGUGGGGGUUGGAAAGUUUCGGCGGUUGGGGAUGGACUCGCGGCUUAUCAGCUUGUUGGUGGGGUAGUGGCUUACCAAGGCUUUGACGGGUAGCCGGCCUGAGAGGGUGACCGGCCACAUUGGGACUGAGAUACGGCCCAGACUCCUACGGGAGGCAGCAGUGGGGAAUAUUGCACAAUGGGCGGAAGCCUGAUGCAGCAACGCCGCGUGCGGGAUGACGGCCUUCGGGUUGUAAACCGCUUUCGCCUGUGACGAAGCGUGAGUGACGGUAAUGGGUAAAGAAGCACCGGCUAACUACGUGCCAGCAGCCGCGGUGAUACGUAGGGUGCGAGCGUUGUCCGGAUUUAUUGGGCGUAAAGGGCUCGUAGGUGGUUGAUCGCGUCGGAAGUGUAAUCUUGGGGCUUAACCCUGAGCGUGCUUUCGAUACGGGUUGACUUGAGGAAGGUAGGGGAGAAUGGAAUUCCUGGUGGAGCGGUGGAAUGCGCAGAUAUCAGGAGGAACACCAGUGGCGAAGGCGGUUCUCUGGGCCUUUCCUGACGCUGAGGAGCGGAAGCGUGGGGAGCGAACAGGCUUAGAUACCCUGGUAGUCCACGCUGUAAACGGUGGGUACUAGGUGUGGGGUCCAUUCCACGGGUUCCGUGCCGUAGCUAACGCUUUAAGUACCCCGCCUGGGGAGUACGGCCGCAAGGCUAAAACUCAAAGGAAUUGACGGGGCCCCGCACAAGCGGCGGAGCAUGCGGAUUAAUUCGAUGCAACGCGUAGAACCUUACCUGGGUUUGACAUGGAUCGGGAGUGCUCAGAGAUGGGUGUGCCUCUUUUGGGGUCGGUUCACAGGUGGUGCAUGGCUGUCGUCAGCUCGUGUCGUGAGAUGUUGGGUUAAGUCCCGCAACGAGCGCAACCCUUGUUCACUGUUGCCAGCACGUUAUGGUGGGGACUCAGUGGAGACCGCCGGGGUCAACUCGGAGGAAGGUGGGGAUGACGUCAAGUCAUCAUGCCCCUUAUGUCCAGGGCUUCACGCAUGCUACAAUGGCUGGUACAGAGAGUGGCGAGCCUGUGAGGGUGAGCGAAUCUCGGAAAGUCGGUCUCAGUUCGGAUUGGGGUCUGCAACUCGACCUCAUGAAGUCGGAGUCGCUAGUAAUCGCAGAUCAGCAACGCUGCGGUGAAUACGUUCCCGGGGCU
rnacentral:rRNA from 1 species